CCGCUUCAUAUGCCUCUCUUGCCAAUUCAGAUGUGGAUUUCCUUGGCGCUUGUGCUGGGCCUUGUGCCAAAGGAGGUUCGUCGUCAUCCUAACUAGACGGAUUUUCCUCUGGUACCUGUAUCGCUCCUUCCCUGUGGUCAUCAUUUAGCAUUAUCCUUUUCACCACAGCUUCUAUUUCUUUUUCUAUUUCUUUUUGUGCUACAGGCACACCCGAAUGUC
rnacentral:lncRNA from 1 species